GUGAGGAAUAUUGCGCAAUGGAGGCAACUCUGACGCAGCCAUGCCGCGUGCAGGAAGAAGGCGCUACGCGUUGUAAACUGCUUUUAACCGGGAAGAAACCCCAGGACGUGUCCUGGGUUGACGGUACCGGAGGAAUAAGCACCGGCUAACUUCGUGCCAGCAGCCGCGGUAAUACGAAGGGUGCAAGCGUUAUCCGGAUUCAUUGGGUUUAAAGGGUGCGUAGGCGGAGCGUUAAGUCAGUGGUGAAAUCCUGCAGCUUAACUGUAGACUUGCCAUUGAUACUGGCGCUCUUGAGUGUGCUUGAAGUGGGCGGAAUGUGCCGUGUAGCGGUGAAAUGCUUAGAUAUGGCACAGAACACCAAUUGCGAAGGCAGCUCACUAAGGCGAUACUGACGCUGAGGCACGAAAGCGUGGGGAUCGAACAGGAUUAGAAACCCUAGUAGUCC
rnacentral:rRNA from 1 species